UUCUUCCACGCCCCAAAAUUUUCGGACCAAAUACCCCCCCCCCCCAAACUCCUCGUGUUAGAGAACUGACGACGACCAUUCAAUUGGUGUCUUUGUGUUUCCUCUACUCUACUGUUUUUCUUCUGCUA
rnacentral:ribozyme from 1 species